GACGAACGCUGGCGGCGUGCUUAACACAUGCAAGUCGAACGGAAAGGCCCUGCUUUUGUGGUGUACUCGAGUGGCGAACGGGUGAGUAACACGUGAGUAACCUGCCCUUGACUUUGGGAUAACUUCAGGAAACUGGGGCUAAUACCGGAUAUGAGCUCCUGCUGCAUGGGGGGGGUUGGAAAGUUUCGGCGGUUGGGGAUGGACUCGCGGCUUAUCAGCUUGUUGGUGGGGUAGUGGCUUACCAAGGCUUUGACGGGUAGCCGGCCUGAGAGGGUGACCGGCCACAUUGGGACUGAGAUACGGCCCAGACUCCUACGGGAGGCAGCAGUGGGGAAUAUUGCACAAUGGGCGGAAGCCUGAUGCAGCAACGCCGCGUGCGGGAUGACGGCCUUCGGGUUGUAAACCACUUUCGCCUGUGACGAAGCGUGAGUGACGGUAAUGGGUAAAGAAGCACCGGCUAACUACGUG
rnacentral:rRNA from 1 species